rnacentral:rRNA from 1 species
UACGUAGGUGGCAAGCGUUGUCCGGAUUUAUUGGGGUUAAAGGGUGCGUAGGCGGUUCCUUAAGUCAGUUGUGAAAUACGGCAGCUUAACUGUCGAGGUGCAAUUGAUACUGGGGAACUAGAGUACUGAUGAGGUAUGCGGAAUGGACGGUGUAGCGGUGAAAUGCUUAGAUAUCGUCCAGAACACCGAUAGCGAAGGCAGCAUACUAAGGAGUAACUGACGCUGAGGCACGAAAGUGUGGGGAUCAAACAGG